rnacentral:rRNA from 1 species
ACGAACGCUGGCGGCGUGCUUAACACAUGCCAGUCGAACGGAAAGGCCCUGCUUUUGUGGGGUGCUCGAGUGGCGAACGGGUGAGUAACACGUGAGUAACCUGCCCUUGACUUUGGGAUAACUUCAGGAAACUGGGGCUAAUACCGGAUAGGAGCUCCUGCUGCAUGGUGGGGGUUGGAAAGUUUCGGCGGUUGGGGAUGGACUCGCGGCUUAUCAGCUUGUUGGUGGGGUAGUGGCUUACCAAGGCUUUGACGGGUAGCCGGCCUGAGAGGGUGACCGGCCACAUUGGGACUGCGAUACGGCCCAGACUCCUACGGGAGGCAGCAGUGGGGAAUAUUGCACAAUGGGCGGAAGCCUGAUGCAGCAACGCCGCGUGCGGGAUGACGGCCUUCGGGUUGUAAACCGCUUUCGCCUGUGACGAAGCGUGAGUGACGGUAAUGGGUAAAGAAGCACCGGCUAACUACGUG